rnacentral:lncRNA from 1 species
CACCAACAUACAUAAAAACAGACUAUUACUACCAUAUAUCUGACGUGGUAGAGGGCAUCUUAAGAAAAACAUGGUGGGUUAAACCUGGUGUUAUGGCUAGUCAACCCUCCUGCUUAUAUGACAAUGUUAAAGAAAUAUCGAUAAAUUGACAAUAUUAAACAAAUAUCGAUAAAUGACAACAUGUUAACCACAGAAUACCAAUGGUCAUUCCUAAUUAACGACAGAACAGACC